rnacentral:misc_RNA from 1 species
UACGGAGGGGGCUAGCGUUGUUCGGAAUUACUGGGCGUAAAGCGCGCGUAGGCGGCGGAACAAGUUGGGCGUGAAAGCCCGGGGCUCAACCCCGGAUGUGCGUCCAAGACUGUUCUGCUCGAGGCCGAGAGAGGGUGGCGGAAUUCCCAGUGUAGAGGUGAAAUUCGUAGAUAUUGGGAAGAACACCGGUGGCGAAGGCGGCCACCUGGCUCGGAACUGACGCUGAGGCGCGAAAGCGUGGGGAGCAAACAGG